rnacentral:rRNA from 1 species
GGGCUUGCGUCUGAUUAGCUAGUUGGUAGGGUAAUGGCCUACCAAGGCGAUGAUCAGUAGCUGGUCUGAGAGGAUGUCCAGCCAGAUGGGGACUGAGAUACGGCCCCAACUCCUACGGGAGGCAGCAGCAAGGAAUAUUGGGCAAUGGGCGGAAGCCUGACCCAGCGACACCGCGUGAGGGAAGAAGGCCCUCGGGUUGUAAACCUCUUUUAUUGGGGAAGUGACGGUACCCGAUGAAUAAGUCUCGGCUAACUACGUGCCAGCAGCCGCGGUAAUACGUAGGAGGCGAACGUUAUCCGGAUUUACUGGGCGUAAAGGGGGUGUAGGCGGCUUCUUAAGUCAGGUGUGAAAUCUUCUGACUCAAUCAGAAGGGGUCAUCUGAUACUGGGAAACUUGAGGGCAGCAGAAGGAAAUGGAAUCCCCAGUGUAGCGGUGGAAUGCGUAGAU